rnacentral:rRNA from 1 species
CCUACGGGCGGCAGCAGUAGGGAAUCUUCCACAAUGGACGAAAGUCUGAUGGAGCAACGCCGCGUGAACGAUGAAGGCUUUCGGGUCGUAAAGUUCUGUUGUAAGGGAAGAACAAGUGCCGCAGGCAAUGGCGGCACCUUGACGGUACCUUGCGAGAAAGCCACGGCUAACUACGUGCCAGCAGCCGCGGUAAUACGUAGGUGGCAAGCGUUGUCCGGAAUUAUUGGGCGUAAAGCGCGCGCAGGCGGCCUCUUAAGUCUGAUGUGAAAGCCCCCGGCUCAACCGGGGAGGGCCAUUGGAAACUGGGAGGCUUGAGUAUAGGAGAGAAGAGUGGAAUUCCACGUGUAGCGGUGAAAUGCGUAGAGAUGUGGAGGAACACCAGUGGCGAAGGCGACUCUUU